GAUGAACGCUGGCGGCGUGCCUAAUACAUGCAAGUCGAGCGAACAGAUGAGGAGCUUGCUCCUCUGACGUUAGCGGCGGGCGGGUGAGUCACACGUGGAUCCCCUACCUAUAAGACUGAGAUAACUUCGGGACACCGGAUCUAAUACCGGAUAAUAUAUUGCACCGCAUGGUUCGAUAGUGAGAGACGGUUUUUCUGUCACUACUAGAUGGAUACGGGCCGCAUUAGCUGGUUGGUAAGGUAACGGCCUACCACGGCGACGAUGCGUAGCCGACCUGAGGGGGGGAUCGGCCACACGGGAACUGAGACACGGACCAGACUCCUACGGGAGGGAGCAGUAGGGAAUCGGCCGCAAUGGGCGAAAGCCUGACGGAGCAACGCCGCGUGAGUGAUGAAGGUCUUCGGAUCGUAAAGCUCUGUUAUUAGGGAAGAACAAAUGUGUAAGUAACUAUGCCCGUCUUGACGGUACCUAGUCAGAAAGCCACGGCUAACUACGUG
rnacentral:rRNA from 1 species